rnacentral:tRNA from 1 species
CGGGAUGUAGCUCAGCCAGGUUAGAGUACCCGUCUGGGGGGCGGGGGGCCGGAAGUUCAAAUCUUCUCAUCCCGA